rnacentral:rRNA from 1 species
UCAAGAUAAAAAGGGCGUAUGGUGGAUGCCUUGGUGCCAGAAGGCGAAGAAGGACGCGGCAAGCGGCGAUACGCCACGGGGAGCUGCAAGCUAGCCUGGAUCCGUGGAUAUCCGAAUGGGGAAACCCGGUACCUGCGAACAGGUAUCAUCCCUACCUGAACACAUAGGGUAGGCGAGGCAAUACCCGGUGAACUGAAACAUCUUAGUAACCGGAGGAAAAGAAAUCAAAAGAGAUUUUCCUAGUAGCGGCGAGCGAACGGGAAAGAGCCCAAACCAUAUAGGUGUAAGCCUGCAAGCGUUGCCUAUGUGGGGUUGCGGGGCUGGCAGGAUAGUGUUGCAGCACUAUCAAAGAGUUACAAAACCAAUGUUUAGGCGAACCUGUCUGGAAAGUCAGGCCACAGAGAGUGAAAGCCUCGUAGCUUAAAGACACUGGUCUCUUAGCCAUGACCCCAAGUACCGCCGGACACGUGGAACCCGGUGGGAAUCAGGGAGGACCACCUUCCAAGGCUAAAUACUAACUGGCGACCGAUAGAGAAUAGUACCGUGAGGGAAAGGUGAAAAGCACCCCGGGAGGGGAGUGAAAAAGAACCUGAAACCGUAUGCCUACAAACAGUCAGAGCACUAUUUAAACCUUCGGGAUUAAAGUGUGAUGGCGUACCUUUUGUAGAAUGGGCCAGCGAGUUACGGUAUCAUGCGAGGUUAAAUCUAAUAAAGGAUGGAGCCGCAGCGAAAGCGAGUCUUAAUAGGGCGAUAGUAUGGUGCUGUAGACCCGAAACCGGGUGAUCUAUCCAUGGCCAGGGUGAAGUCUCGGUAACACGAGAUGGAGGCCCGAACCAGAGUACGUUAAAAAGUGCGUGGAUGAGCUGUGGAUAGGGGUGAAAAGCCAAUCGAACCCGGAGAUAGCUGGUUCUCCCCGAAAUAGCUUUAGGGCUAGCGUUAUAGAAUGCCUUAUGGGGGUAGAGCACUGGUUAGGCUAGGGGCCUUACUCGGUUACCGAACCUUCCCAAACUCCGAAUACCAUAAAGGUUAACUAUAGCAGUCAGUCUAUGGGUGAAAAGGUCCGUAGACAAAAGGGAAACAGCCCAGACCAACAGCUAAGGUCCCAAAAUCUAUGCUAAGUGGGAAAGGAUGUAGGGCUGCACAGACAGCCAGGAUGUUGGCUUAGAAGCAGCCACCAUUCAAAGAGUGCGUAAUAGCUCACUGGUCAAGUGGCCCUGCGCCGAAAAUUUAACGGGGCUAAGCAUAGUACCGAAGCUUUGGACUCGACAGCUCCAUGAGAUGUUAGAAGUCAGAAUGCCGAAAGGAUGCGGCGAAGCCGCGUAUGGUAGUUAUGAUGCAUAAGCAAGAUAGUGCGGAGCAGCAAAGAAAUUAGCUGAGCUAGAUUUAGCGAAGCCGCUAAAUCUCCCAAGCUAAGCAUAUUGGAUUUCUAGCAUGUCAUGGAGUAGUCGAGUGGUAGGGGAGCAUUCCUAUCGGGUAGAAGCCGUACCGUGAGGAGCGGUGGACUGGUAGGAAGAGAGAAUGCUGGCAUAAGUAAGCGAAAAGGCAGGUGAGAAUCCUGCCCGCCGUAAACCUAAGGUUUCCUGGGGAAGGCUCGUCCGCCCAGGGUAAGCCGGGACCUAACCCGAGGCCGCAAGGCGUAGGGGAUGGACAACUGGUUGAGAUUCCAGUGCCACCUGAAUUCCGUUUGAGUGAAGGGGUGACGCAGGAGGAUAAGUGAAGCGCACGGCAAGGAAGAGUGCGUCCAAGCACGUAGGGUGUCAGGUAGGCAAAUCCGCCUGACGAAAAGCCUGAGGUGUUAAGGGGAGGGAAACGUAGUACCGAAGUCACCGAUUCCAAACUGCCAAGAAAAGCCUCUAGCAAGGAACCAGGUGCCCGUACCGCAAACCGACACAGGUAGGUGAGGAGAGAAUCCUAAGGCGCGCGAGAGAACCCUCGUUAAGGAACUCGGCAAAAUGACCCCGUAACUUAGGGAGAAGGGGUGCUCUAUUAGCGUGAGUCAUUUUAACAAAGAUGAGCGUGAGAGAGCCGCAGUGAUCAGGCCCAGGCGACUGUUUAUCAAAAACAUAGGUCUCUGCUAAAUCGAAAGAUGACGUAUAGAGGCUGACGCCUGCCCGGUGCCGGAAGGUUAAGGGGAAGUGUUAGCGCAAGCAAAGCACUGAACCGAAGCCCCGGUGAACGGCGGCCGUAACUAUAACGGUCCUAAGGUAGCGAAAUUCCUUGUCUGGUAAGUUCAGACCCGCACGAAAGGCGUAACGAUCUGGGCGCUGUCUCGACGAGGGGCUCGGUGAAAUUGUAAUACCGGUGAAGAUGCCGGUUACCUGCGAUAGGACAGAAAGACCCCGUGGAGCUUUACUGUAGCUUGA